UAACGAAUCUUCCGCAAUGCACGAAAGUGUGACGGGGCAAUGCCGCGUGGUGGAUGAAGCCCUUCGGGGUGUAAACACCUGUCAGGGUUCAGGAACACAAUGACCAGACCCAAAGGAAGAGCCGGCUAACUCUGUGCCAGCAGCCGCGGUAAUACAGAGGGCUCGAGCGUUAAUCGGAAUCACUGGGCUUAAAGGGUGCGUAGGCGGAUACAUAGGCACUUUGUGAAAUCCCUCGGCUCAACCGGGGAAU
rnacentral:rRNA from 1 species